CGGUGGGACACCUCUCCCCAACGAGAGGCGAUUAUCUGAAAGGGUAGCU
rnacentral:ncRNA from 1 species